GUUAAUUGGGCUUUUGACCGCACGAAGCCCACAACACGCAUGUAACAACCUUGCUUGACCUUUCUUCUCCCUUUCAUCACGCAGCGGCGCCCCCUGCUCCACGACACCGCCGCCGGCGACCCCUCCCUCCCACUCGAAGUCUUCAUGCUCGCGUCCAUUUAAAACCUUGCUUCAUCCUGACUCAAUUUUCCCUUCGCCCAAUCCCCGUCCGCAUCAAACCCUAGGGGCCCGGCCGACUCCAACGCACCCUCUCAGAUCCAAUAGGCAAUGCGCCGUUGACGCAGAGGCUGGGAGGCGGGCACGCGUUGCCGGGGGCGGCGGAGCAGAUGUUCGCCACGCUCGUCGGCGACUACCCGAUCUCCUCCGAGUUCUGGAGGCAGCUGCUCGAGCUGCUCCUCACCCAGCAGUGGCCACGGGACCGCCUGCUGCAGGCAUGCGACGCCUUCCUUAAGGACCAACGACUCGAGAUCCAGACCACACAUACGCCUACAGUUGCUCUGAUCGCUUCCGUUUCCGCCCUUUUGUUGUUGCUUCGGAUGAUGAUUAAUUGUUGUUUUGCGGGUUUUGGUCUGCAGGGGCAAUGCGGAUCAUGUGAUUUAUGCGUGCGCGGCUGUGGGUCGCACCGUUUAUCUGCUGCUUUGAGCAGCCAGCUUGGAUGGUAUUUAAGCUAAGGAGUUGUAUAAAGGCCCCUACUGCAGAAUGGUGGAGAGGGAGCAGGCUUUGGAAACUCAUGUUUUUGCUUGGGAUUAAAUUUUUGGUCGUCUGAGAGGUUUAGAAGCUGCUAGGCUAUAUCCAACAUGAAGCUUUGAUGCUCCUGCAGAUGGCGGCAAUGUAAUUACUCAAGGCUACAACUAACUACAUUCACCUGUCCUUGGUCAAAUUGUAAUACACUAACCUAUCAGUCUCCAGUAAUAAUAGUAAACACUAGCAGUAACAAGGAACCUGAGCACAAGGACAACAAUAAUGAAAGUGAUAACAGAGGAAUGCAGAUCUUUCCUACGUUUUGAUGCACAACCUUCCCUCCAACUUGUUCAUAUCAUAGUAUAUUUGUUACACUACGCAUGCCUUACGGUAGAUUUGGACGGGAAGAAUGAAAGACCACCAAAGGAUCAUUAGAGGGAGGUGUUUUAAAGACGUUUAGACUUCUGGUAUGCCAAUAUGGAUUAUAAAUUUAUAAUACAAGGUGAUACUAAUAGUUUUCUGGAACAUAUGCAGACCACCUAAUGAGGAGACCAAAGGGUUGCUAACCUGGGAAAGUUACAGUUGUUUAUCUUCUUCCCAUCGUACCUCCUCCAUUGGUGGUCGUAGUUGUGCGGUGCAAAGGUAUCCACCUUCCUCGAUGGCUUCUCCACACAGGUCCAUCAGGAGGAAGAUCAAAGAUGAAACAAUUCUAUACUCAACGAUGAUUUGGUGUCACUCUACCACAUCAAUAUAUGUGAUCCUAUAGCUAAAGCUUUCAGCAUAUGUGACCCACUCUAUAUCGAGGAAAUGUAAUUUCAAAUAUUUGAAGUUUCUCAAUAUUUCCAUUUUCUUUAAAAAAUUCCCUUUUUCUAUCACUAGACAACAUGCAACUUAACUAUAAUAUGUUUAUUUACAUAAAUUCUUACCGUUCUACAUCAAAAUAGACGGACGCAGCAACG